GCCGAUGUGGCUCAGCGGUAGAGCAGCUCACUCGUAAUGAGCAGGUCGUCAGUUCGAUUCUGACCAUCGGCUCCA
rnacentral:tRNA from 3 species